GGUUAAGCGACUAAGCGUACACGGUGGAUGCCCUGGCAGUCAGAGGCGAUGAAGGACGUGCUAAUCUGCGAUAAGCGUCGGUGAGGUGAUAUGAACCGUUAUAACCGGCGAUUUCCGAAUGGGGAAACCCAGUGUGUUUCGACACACUAUCAUUAACUGAAUCCAUAGGUUAAUGAGGCGAACCGGGGGAACUGAAACAUCUAAGUACCCCGAGGAAAAGAAAUCAACCGAGAUUCCCCCAGUAGCGGCGAGCGAACGGGGAGGAGCCCAGAGCCUGAAUCAGUGUGUGUGUUAGUGGAAGCGUCUGGAAAGGCGUGCGAUACAGGGUGACAGCCCCGUACACAAAAAUGCACAUAUUGUGAGCUCGAUGAGUAGGGCGGGACACGUGGUAUCCUGUCUGAAUAUGGGGGGACCAUCCUCCAAGGCUAAAUACUCCUGACUGACCGAUAGUGAACCAGUACCGUGAGGGAAAGGCGAAAAGAACCCCGGCGAGGGGAGUGAAAAAGAACCUGAAACCGUGUACGUACAAGCAGUGGGAGCCUCUUAAUGGGGUGACUGCGUACCUUUUGUAUAAUGGGUCAGCGACUUAUAUUCUGUAGCAAGGUUAACCGAAUAGGGGAGCCGAAGGGAAACCGAGUCUUAACUGGGCGUUAAGUUGCAGGGUAUAGACCCGAAACCCGGUGAUCUAGCCAUGGGCAGGUUGAAGGUUGGGUAACACUAACUGGAGGACCGAACCGACUAAUGUUGAAAAAUUAGCGGAUGACUUGUGGCUGGGGGUGAAAGGCCAAUCAAACCGGGAGAUAGCUGGUUCUCCCCGAAAGCUAUUUAGGUAGCGCCUCGUGAAUUCAUCUCCGGGGGUAGAGCACUGUUUCGGCAAGGGGGUCAUCCCGACUUACCAACCCGAUGCAAACUGCGAAUACCGGAGAAUGUUAUCACGGGAGACACACGGCGGGUGCUAACGUCCGUCGUGAAGAGGGAAACAACCCAGACCGCCAGCUAAGGUCCCAAAGUCAUGGUUAAGUGGGAAACGAUGUGGGAAGGCCCAGACAGCCAGGAUGUUGGCUUAGAAGCAGCCAUCAUUUAAAGAAAGCGUAAUAGCUCACUGGUCGAGUCGGCCUGCGCGGAAGAUGUAACGGGGCUAAACCAUGCACCGAAGCUGCGGCAGCGACACUAUGUGUUGUUGGGUAGGGGAGCGUUCUGUAAGCCUGUGAAGGUGGCCUGUGAGGGUUGCUGGAGGUAUCAGAAGUGCGAAUGCUGACAUAAGUAACGAUAAAGCGGGUGAAAAGCCCGCUCGCCGGAAGACCAAGGGUUCCUGUCCAACGUUAAUCGGGGCAGGGUGAGUCGACCCCUAAGGCGAGGCCGAAAGGCGUAGUCGAUGGGAAACAGGUUAAUAUUCCUGUACUUGGUGUUACUGCGAAGGGGGGACGGAGAAGGCUAUGUUGGCCGGGCGACGGUUGUCCCGGUUUAAGCGUGUAGGCUGGUUUUCCAGGCAAAUCCGGAAAACCAAGGCUGAGGCGUGAUGACGAGGCACUACGGUGCUGAAGCGACAAAUGCCCUGCUUCCAGGAAAAGCCUCUAAGCAUUAGGUAACAUCAAAUCGUACCCCAAACCGACACAGGUGGUCAGGUAGAGAAUACCAAGGCGCUUGAGAGAACUCGGGUGAAGGAACUAGGCAAAAUGGUGCCGUAACUUCGGGAGAAGGCACGCUGAUAUGUAGGUGAAGCGACUUGCUCGUGGAGCUGAAAUCAGUCGAAGAUACCAGCUGGCUGCAACUGUUUAUUAAAAACACAGCACUGUGCAAACACGAAAGUGGACGUAUACGGUGUGACGCCUGCCCGGUGCCGGAAGGUUAAUUGAUGGGGUUAGCGGCAACGCGAAGCUCUUGAUCGAAGCCCCGGUAAACGGCGGCCGUAACUAUAACGGUCCUAAGGUAGCGAAAUUCCUUGUCGGGUAAGUUCCGACCUGCACGAAUGGCGUAAUGAUGGCCAGGCUGUCUCCACCCGAGACUCAGUGAAAUUGAACUCGCUGUGAAGAUGCAGUGUACCCGCGGCAAGACGGAAAGACCCCGUGAACCUUUACUAUAGCUUGACACUGAACAUUGAGCCUUGAUGUGUAGGAUAGGUGGGAGGCUUUGAAGUGUGGACGCCAGUCUGCAUGGAGCCGACCUUGAAAUACCACCCUUUAAUGUUUGAUGUUCUAACGUUGGCCCGUAAUCCGGGUUGCGGACAGUGUCUGGUGGGUAGUUUGACUGGGGCGGUCUCCUCCUAAAGAGUAACGGAGGAGCACGAAGGUUGGCUAAUCCUGGUCGGACAUCAGGAGGUUAGUGCAAUGGCAUAAGCCAGCUUGACUGCGAGCGUGACGGCGCGAGCAGGUGCGAAAGCAGGUCAUAGUGAUCCGGUGGUUCUGAAUGGAAGGGCCAUCGCUCAACGGAUAAAAGGUACUCCGGGGAUAACAGGCUGAUACCGCCCAAGAGUUCAUAUCGACGGCGGUGUUUGGCACCUCGAUGUCGGCUCAUCACAUCCUGGGGCUGAAGUAGGUCCCAAGGGUAUGGCUGUUCGCCAUUUAAAGUGGUACGCGAGCUGGGUUUAGAACGUCGUGAGACAGUUCGGUCCCUAUCUGCCGUGGGCGCUGGAGAACUGAGGGGGGCUGCUCCUAGUACGAGAGGACCGGAGUGGACGCAUCACUGGUGUUCGGGUUGUCAUGCCAAUGGCACUGCCCGGUAGCUAAAUGCGGAAGAGAUAAGUGCUGAAAGCAUCUAAGCACGAAACUUGCCCCGAGAUGAGUUCUCCCUGACUCCUUGAGAGUCCUGAAGGAACGUUGAAGACGACGACGUUGAUAGGCCGGGUGUGUAAGCGCAGCGAUGCGUUGAGCUAACCGGUACUAAUGAACCGUGAGGCUUGACCUU
rnacentral:rRNA from 1 species